CCUACGGGAGACAGCAGUGAGGAAUAUUGGUCAAUGGCCGGAAGGCUGAACCAGCCAUGCCGCGUGAAGGUCAGUGCCCUACGGGCGUUAAACUUCUUUUGUCCGGGAGCAAUAAUGGUCACGUUUGGCCAGACGCGAGUACCGUACGAAUAAGCAUCGGCUAACUCCGUGCCAGCAGCCGCGGUUAUACGGGGGAUGCAAUCGUUAUCCGGAUUUAUUGGGUUAAAGGGAGGCGGAGGCGGUGAGGUAAGUCAGCGGUCAAAUUGCGGGGCUAAACCCCGUACUGCCGUUGAAACUGCAUGCCUAGAGUGCGCGAGAGGUAGGCGGAAUGCGUGGUGUAGCGGUGAAAUGCAUAGAGAUCACGCAGAACACCGAUUGCGAAGGCAGCAUACCGGCGUGCAACUGACGCUCAUGCACGAAAGCGUGGGUAUCGAACAGGAUUAGAUACCCGGGUAGUC
rnacentral:rRNA from 1 species